UAUGCUGUCAAAGUGCUUCAACUCUAAACUGGAGGGAAACAUCUAGGAGCAAGAGGCCAGCUAGGUUCUAGGCCUAUUGAGGACUUGCUCCUAGAGUGUCUCCCUGUGAUUGCUUGGUGCCUCACAGGAGUACUCAAAACCUUGCAGAAUUGAGCCCCUCCAUCCUUAGUUUCUCUAACGAGACUGCCAGCAAUUGUGAUAUGGACACAUCCUAUGGAACCAAACUGGGGACACCAUCUUAUUUCAAUAGGCUACUGAAGAGAUAGUAACAGCUUCUGGUCACUAUUCAUUACUGAACUGGAUUAAAUCUGAACUGGCAACAAAGAGAUGAAAGGCUCCAGAUUCUAUCACUAAUACUCUGAGACAUCCAGGUUUCUAUUCUUUAGGUCUUUUCUCCUUAGCAUCACAACAGUCAUUCCAUCAAUCAAAACUGCCAUUUUGAAUUAGCAAUAGAUGAUCCGUAAAAUAAGAAAAGCGAAAUGACUUGUAACAUAUAAUAUAGCAAAAA